UCGGGAAUUUUGGGCAAUGGGCGAAAGCCUGACCCAGCAACGCCGCGUGAAGGAUGAAGUAUUUCGGUAUGUAAACUUCGAAAGAAUAGGAAGAAUAAAUGACGGUACUAUUUAUAAGGUCCGGCUAGCUACGUGCCAGCAGCCGCGGUAAUACGUAGGGACCAAGCGUUGUUCGGAUUUACUGGGCGUAAAGGGCGCGUAGGCGGGUUUGCAAGUCCGUGGUGAAAUACCUCAGCUCAACUGAGGAACUGCCUCGGAUACUGCGAGUCUCGAGGGUGGUAGGGGUAUGCGGAACUAUCGGUGGAGCGGUGAAAUGCGUUGAUAUCGAUAGGAACUCCGGUGGCGAAGGCGGCAUACUGGACCACUUCUGACGCUGAGGCGCGAAAGCCAGGGGAGCAAACGGGAUUAGAUACCCAAGUAGUCCCUGAGCGGGCUGGCAAGGCGCAU
rnacentral:rRNA from 1 species